rnacentral:lncRNA from 1 species
CUGGUACAGAAGAUAAAAGGUGGAGGGAAGAACCAUCACCCGUGUGCCAGGCAGCCGUUGGCUUUAUUGAGCCAUCAGGCCAACUCAGUGGUUCAUUUUCCACAUGAUUGUGUUCAAACCAGCUCCUCAUGUCUUCGAGGAAAGUUCAAUAUAAAGCAGCAAACAAGAAGCCAUCCCAUGCUGCUUCUCAUUUGGCUUGGAAAGCAGCAGGAACACAAGGAGGGAAGAAACUCUGGGAGUAAAGAUACGGAGACCUGUGACAACAGUGAUAUGUCCUCCUUUAAGUUUUCUCCUUGACGCUUUCCCGAAACGACACUGGGAGGAAGUAAGUUGUCAAUUGAAAAUCAUCACUUAUUAUUAGCCGUGGAAAGCAAAUUACUUUAGUUAAGAAACCAAUGUGUAACAGAUUUGCAUUUAUUUCCUGUAGGCGUAGUUAACAGGAAAUCUAUUUGAAAUAGAAAUAAUUAGAAAACUACAGUGGGUGCUUUUAGAACCAUAGAACCAUUUAGGUUGGAAAAUACCUUUAAAAUCAUCAAGUUCAACUGUCUCACUUUUCCUGAGAAGAGUAAUUUUUGUCUGGCCAGAAAUUCGUGCUCCGUGUUUUGGUGAAUUCUUGAAAACACAGAAGGGUUAGAAAGAAGACUGAAGAGAAUAGGGAAAAAUAGUCAAUUAGUCAACAAAGUCUGAUAAAAAUUUAAACAAGUCACAGAAAAGCAAUAGUGCAGAAUGCACCUGCAGGAUCUCCGUGGACACUCUCCUAAGAAAGCAAAGCCAAUCACACCUUCCAAAUUAAAAUGAUGUCUUUUCCAUGCAUAUAUAAUGACUGAAAUGGCCAGUAAUUCUGUAACACUCACAGGGUGGUGGGUAGAAAACACAGAAAAUGAUGCUGAGAUUGCAAACUAUCCUAUUGUUCAUAACUGUCAUUGAAAUAUGAGAGGAUCUAUCCC